rnacentral:rRNA from 1 species
UACGUAGGGGGCAAGCGUUGUCCGGAAUCAUUGGGCGUAAAGCGCGUGUAGGCGGCCAGGUAAGUCCGUUCUGAAAGCCCGGGGCUCAACCCCGGGAGGCGGAUGGAUACUGCUUGGCUCGAGUCCGGAAGAGGUGAGUGGAAUUCCCGGUGUAGCGGUGAAAGUGCGCAGAGUAUCGGGAGGAACACCAAUGGCGAAGGCAGCUCACUGGGACGGUACUGACGCUCAUGCACGAAAGCGUGGGGAGCAAACAGG